rnacentral:rRNA from 1 species
CCUACGGGAGGCAGCAGUGGGGAAUUUUGGACAAUGGGCGAAAGCCUGAUCCAGCCAUGCCGCGUGCAGGAUGAAGGCCUUCGGGCUGUAAACUGCUUUUGUACGGAACGAAAAGCCUCUUUCUAAUAAAGAGGGGUCAUGACGGUACCGUAAGAAUAAGCACCGGCUAACUACGUGCCAGCAGCCGCGGUAAUACGUAGGGUGCGAGCGUUAAUCGGAAUUACUGGGCGUAAAGCGUGCGCAGGCGGUUAUAUAAGACAGUUGUGAAAUCCCCGGGCUCAACCUGGGAACUGCAUCUGUGACUGUAUAGCUAGAGUACGGUAGAGGGGGAUGGAAUUCCGCGUGUAGCAGUGAAAUGCGUAGAUAUGCGGAGGAACACCGAUGGCGAAGGCAAUCCCCUGGACCUGUACUGACGCUCAUGCACGAAAGCGUGGGGAGCAAACAGGAUUAGAUACCCUGGUAGUCCACGCCCUAAACGAUGUCAACUGGUUGUUGGGAAUUCACUUUCUCAGUAACGAAGCUAACGCGUGAAGUUGACCGCCUGGGGAGUACGGCCGCAAGGUUGAAACUUAAAUGAAUUGACGG